AAUAUUUAAUUAUUUAAUUGAGACUUGAGAGCAGCUUACAAACAAGUUAUAACUUUUCUCAAUUAAGAAACCGGGUGUGAGAUUCUAGACUCAAAACGGAUAGAUAAUCUGAUAUUAACGGUAUUUGUAAACAACCAUAAUGGACCAAACAAACCAAACGUUUGUCAUAGAAGAUGACGGAACCAUAGGGGAGUCCUUAAAAACGGUUAUAAAUAAAUUUGAUGAUGUGGUGUCCUGUGAGUACACAGUUACAGAUCUACCAUCAGGUUAUAUUAACCUGACAAUAAUAACAACUGGGACUCCAGUUUAUUUAAUUUUAAUUAGAGCCCUCUUUGAAUUAAGAAGUGAUAUAGAUGAUUUAAAAACAGAUCUUAUCGAUGUUAAAAGUAAACUAAACCAACUUAUGAAACAUUUCCACAGCCACUAAACUAAGUGAGUUGUGGGUUACUGGAUUACCUUCAAAGAUUAUAUUAUGUGUAUAACAAUCAAUUGAAAUUCAGUUACUGUGCUACAGCAAGCAUUCUUAGGAUUACAUCGCAUCUUUAUGAACUCUAUGAGCUCAGGAAUUUGAACUAUGAUUCUGUAGUCAAGGAAUAUGUGCAUAACUAUUCUAAAAUAUUUAAAAAAAAGUUUGGGAAGAGGCAAGACAUAUCCAUAUUCACAACUAGGUUAUUUCUAUAAAUAAUUAAAUAAAAUGACUUGGGAAAUAAUAAAUAGGGAAACAGGUAAGAAUAAAACAAAUAAACAUUCUAUCUGUAUUUAAAAAGAUCGAGUGGUCAUCGAAAACAAUGAGAAAAGAACUCAAAAUUUUGAUAACUUUUCAAAUAUUCCUGUUUAGAUUACAAUUACUAAAAAAGGUUAAAAUGAAAAAGCUGAAUCAAUGCUUAAAAAGCAAUGUACCUGAGUGCACAGUUUCUUUCUAAUUAGUAACAUUACUAUUGGUGAAAUAAUCAAAGUAUUUUUCUCAUUAAGUGUAAAAAACAUGUGUGCUGCUAUUAUAGCAAAGAUAAUCAAAAAUAUUACUCUCCAAUUAUGUUAAAUCUUCAAUAAAUGUUGUGAUACUGGAUUUUUCUAGAUUAUCUAAAGUAUAGUAAAAAAUUGCAUUGUUUAUCACAGGCAAUCACAUCAUUGUCUUCCAUUUUCUUUGAAGUAACGAUCAUCACUGUGUUUUACUCCCCCCCUCCCAUGGGCGGAAGGAGCUAAGCCCAAUACCCUGGCACUUCUUCUCCCAUGACAUUCGGAGAGGCGUUGGGUAUUAUUUGGUUUGUCGCUACAUGCUUACGUCACUGUUGUGCCCUUGCUAAUAGCUUUGUCAGUCUUUAUUUGUUUUCGGAGUCUUCUAGGAUUGAUGUUGUCCUCCUCUUCAAAAAUACGGCGGCUAGGCGAUCAGAUGUUGUCUGUAGCGCAUCAGCACUCCCGGCAGUGACUGCAGCAGGUCUGGUCCGGUCAGCAGGUGGUCGUUCACUGAUGUCCUAAGCGUUGGGGCUGCGGCGUCGAAGACACAGCAUACUUUUCCUGGCUUGGCCGUAUAUAGUACCGGGAAGUGAGGUGAUGUCCCUUGUUUGGCAGCUUCGGCUUAGUUCAUCUCUAGCACGAUUGCUAGACUCAUCUGCAUUUCCUAGGCUUUCUUCAGCUGAGGUGUCUUGUCUAUUUUCUUCGCAGUGCUGUACGUGCAUGUGAGAGAGUGAUCGUAGUUGUUUGGUAGGUUUCGUCGGUUUUCCAUAAUAACUUGUACUGUAGCCGGUGGUAAGAAGUUCGAUGGUGUACUCUCGAAGUACGUUGAGGGCAUGCUCGUCUAUUGCGAAAUGCUUCUUGACAGCUUACUUCGGUGAUUGGUUGAGCCAUGUAGUAUCCAUCCCAGCGGUGUUCUAGAAGCGACAGGUUCUUGGGAAGUAUGAUGGCGUGCCUCAUGGGCGAGAAGAAGCUCCCAGUUGGCUUGACCUAUUGAUAUAGUCGGCCGCGCCUCUUCGUAUUUUAAUUUGCGUGCGAUGUCUUCGAGAUGACAAUACUUGUCGAGUUCUAUAUUAUUUACUUCUUGCGCUACCAGCCUGAGGUUCAUUAUUGUUCUUCCUCAUUGUGUAUGCUUCAUUAUCAUGACUUCAAAGUGUUGCGACGCGUCGCGAGUCUGUUCUGGUGACACGCGCCCCGGCGAUCGCCUCGAUGUUAAGUCGAACCACAGGGCCUUCAGCGCCAACAUUACUUGCUAGAUCUUCGUCUAUCAGCGUGCCCAUCGACCUGCCGUCCAGAAGGGCGUACGUUUUUACUGUCAACUUCGGCCCGAUUACCGAUACAGGAAGUAUCGUAAAAUAAUAGCUGUCACAAAAAAUACGCGUUGCAAAUAACAAGUAUUUAAAUUUUGUUAGUCUUGUGUCCUAAGAAGUAUAUCAAAAAUGAACUGAAAAUAGUAUCGCAAUUCCUGUGUUAAUCACUUUUUUUAUGCAAUCAUUAACUGAUCUUCAAUACCAUUUUGUUUAAUGUUUUCAUAUUUUUAUUAUAAACUUGUAAAAAGGAGAUUAAUGACGGAGUACAAUGUGCGGGAUGUGCGAGAAAAUGCGAGACCGGGUAUGAUAAUCGAGCUGCUUGGAGGUGCACACAAUGCAACGGUGGUAACUCGCCUAAAUUCAAAUCGAAAUAUAUUUUUAUUCAAAAUAGGAUUCAAAAUCACUUAUAGAACCUCAAAACCUGGUAGGUUUCAAAAUAGACUGCUGCAGACGUACGCAAGAAACUCAGCAGGUUUUUUUUUUAUAAAACUAUGGAUUACAAUUUAAUAUCGUACAAUAAACAUUUAUAAUUAGAGCCUGAGGGUGUAGGCUUCCUUUCCAGUCUGUGGUAUCAUUAAGAAAAUAGUUAAUGCUAUAGUAACCUUUCCCACACAAACGUUUUAAUAAUUUCAUGAAUUUUUAUUUAUUUCUCUAAUAUGCAUUGAAUUAGGAAUAGUACAUACUUUCUUAAAUGGUUUAGAAUAUUUUUUCGCAUAUCAUGAUUACAUGAUGAUCUCUCACUAUAUAGUUCAUAUAGCCGUUGUCUGCAUCUAUGAAUACCAGCUGUUGCCCAGUCAUUAAAUGACAAGAGACCACCUGAGUUGACUGUCUCUGAAGUAAAUAUAGAAUCAAACUGUUUUAAUUAUUUUAAAUAACAUACCAUACAUCUCAUUUGGAGUAGUUAUAAUUCAAAUACAAAUUUGAGAGCUUUUCUGAAACAUUGCCUCUAUAUUUCUCCAUUCGCCUAUUAUUUACCGGAACAAGCAUACUUUUAAUUGAAGUACAUUAGUUUACUUCAGUAUUAAAAGAGGCUAAUUGACCAAAGUGGUCUGAUCUCAGUUUACUAAUUAUUGACUGAGAAAUAGGUUUACAAUCAGUAAAAAUAUUAUAAAUACAGCUUUUAGAGGUGCUGGUAACUCUAGUAGGUUCUAAGAAACCUAAACCCACUCAACUGGACAGUACGCAAGAAGAACAACUAAACAAUAUUAUGGUUAAACUCGAACUGUUGUCCUCUUUAGCUGUGGAUAUUAAGUCGGUCAGAGAUGACAUUAAUAACUUAAAGGACAUUAAUAACUCAUUAGAACUAGCGCACCAAUUGAUCGGCGACUUCUCCUGAACUAUUGGAAAAAUUUGGAAAGACUGGCUUGGAGUCUAGAAUAGUGAACGUAGAAAGAGAAUGGUUCACGAGGUCCCAACAUUAAAGGAGGAGGUGGUUAGACUUUCAAAGGAGCUACAUGAUCGUGAUCAGAAAAAACGUAGAAAUAGGUGGCAUACCCCUAAAGAAAAAUGAAAAUCUAUACGACAUAGCGGACAAAAUCAGCCAACGAGACUGCACGAGUCUGGUGCCAGAUUUUGGCGAGACAACACGUCCUGAGGAUGCCUCGUGUAGAGGCGAAACACGUGUCGAAUUGUUUUAAAAACAAAUAUUGGCGGAAUUAACACUAAAGAAAACUUAAAUCAUUUGUAUAAUUAUGGAUUUCCGCAAAGUAACGCCUAAUUAAAUAAAUUUUCAAAAUCAGCCUGUUAUGCAACAUACCUUUGAAUAGAAAAGUAAUCAAUUGUUUCGCACGUUUACCGAUCCGGUUACCCAAUACUGAGAAACCGAUCUGAAUUGCGCUUAACAAUCGGUAUAAGAAAGAAGAGCUAAUCGCCUCUGCUCGAAAACUAAAACAAAAAGACAACCCAGGUAAUUAAGUAAAAAUAGAAUUUAAUUGGAAUUUCCAUGCAUAAUAUUUUGCUAUUAUUAACGAUAUGAACGAGAAUCAUAUCAAUGUUAAGGUUCUAUUUUAAGGUUACAUUUUAAAGUAAAAAGCAAUAAAUUUAUUGACUAAAUAAAAAAUAUCACUACUCUUCGAUAACAGUUCCCUUAAAGCCUCUACUAGUAUCGGCAUACUGGGUCUCGAAAUCUCGAGCGAUUGCCAAUUCCGUGGCCAUCUGGAGGGCAAAGCUAAAUUGGCUUCGAAGAAGCUGGGCGUCAAUAAUAGAGCACGGCAAUACUUUUAGCCGGCCCACAUUCUAGCGCUCUACAAAGCGCAGGUCUAGCACACAUUAAGUGUUGCAGUCAUCUCCGGUCUGGCGCUCCCCAGUAUCAGCUCGAUCCAUUUGACCGCGUGCAAUGCAGAGCAGCUCGAAUUGUCGGGGACCCAGUGCUCUGUGUACGGCUGGAACACUUAGCGUUGCGCAUUGACGUCGCUUCAUUGUGUAUCGUACCGCAUUUAUCACGGAGAGUGUUCCGUAGAGCUGUUUCACCUAAUUCCUGCCGCUGAAUUCCACCUUCUCACGACACGCCACGAGUUAAGGUAUCAUCCCCACCAUAUGGAUCCUCCACAGUGCAGUUUUCAAGGAGCUUUCUUCCACGUACUAAAAAGCUGUGGAAUGAACUUCCUUGUGUGAUGUUUCCGGGAUGAUACGACAUGGAUACCUUUCUUAAAAGCUGGCAACGCUCCUGUGAUUCCUCUGGUGUUGCAAGACCCAGGUGACCCGUACGCUCGUAGGUCAUCCUUAUCCAUAAAAAAAUCAUUAAACUCACUUCAAAAUAGUUACCUCGUAUAAUAUACCACGUCAUAAUAAACAAAUUGUUGGAGAUACUUUAUCACUUUUCAUUUAUUGUUGUUUUUUAUGCCUUUUUUAUGGUAGAUUAAGUAAUUUAUAAGAACUAUGUACAACAAUCGCUUAAUGUAAGCCUUACUAAAGUUUAUUUAACUUUGAAGUUUAUUACUUUAAAAUCGUAGUGUAAUAUAAAUUAUAUGUUUAUUGUUUUUAAACUUUGUAAUCCAAAUUAUUCAAGUAAGUUUAUUGUUUUAAAUUGUAACAGUCACUGUACCGGUGUCACUAUUGUAAAAAGUUGAUUAUUUUAGUAAUAGGUUGUAGUUGUACAAUAAAAUUAAUAUAUGUAUAAGUGUA